rnacentral:rRNA from 1 species
UAACCAUUAUGCCAGCAUCCUUGACGUAAAGUCGCAGUCCUCAGUCCCAGCUGGCAGUAUUCCUACAGGCUAUAACACUUACCGAGGCAAGCCACGUUCCUGCAGAUUUAUCCUGCCGCCAAAACUGAUGCUGGCCCAGUGAGCUGCGAGAUUCCCCCACCCACAAGGAGCAGAGGGCGCAAAACACCAUGUCUGAUCAAAUGCCCUUCCCUUUCAACAAUUUCACGUACUUUUUCACUCUCUUUUCAAAGUUCUUUUCAUCUUUCCAUCACUGUACUUGUUCGCUAUCGGUCUCUCGCCAAUAUUUAGCUUUAGAUGGAAUUUACCACCCACUUAGAGCUGCAUUCCCAAACAACUCGACUCUUCGAAAGCACUUUACAAAGAACUGGGAUCCUCGCCACACGGGAUUCUCACCCUCUAUGACGUCCUGUUCCAAGGAACAUAGACAAGGACCAGCCCCAAAGUUACCUUCUACAAAUUACAACUCGGGCACCAAAGGUACCAGAUUUCAAAUUUGAGCUUUUGCCGCUUCACUCGCCGUUACUAAGGCAAUCCCGGUUGGUUUCUUUUCCUCCGCUUAUUUGAUAUG